AUUGAACGCUGGCGGCAGGCCUAACACAUGCAAGUCGAACGGUAACAGGAAGACGCUUGCUUCUUUGCUGACGAGUGGCGGACGGGUGAGUAAUGUCUGGGAAACUGCCUGAUGGAGGGGGAUAACUACUGGAAACGGUAGCUAAUACCGCAUAACGUCGCAAGACCAAAAAGGGGGACCUUCGGGCCUCUUGCCAUCGGAUGUGCCCAGAUGGGAUUAGCUAGUAGGUGGGGUAACGGCUCACCUAGGCGACGAUCCCUAGCUGGUCUGAGAGGAUGACCAGCCACACUGGAACUGAGACACGGUCCAGGCUCCUACGGGAGGCAGCAGUGGGGAAUAUUGCACAAUGGGCGCAAGCCUGAUGCAGCCAUGCCGCGUGUAUGAAGAAGGCCUUCGGGUUGUAAAGUACUUUCAGCGGGGAGGAAGGGAGUAAAGUUAAUACCUUUGCUCAUUGACGUUACCCGCAGAAGAAGCACCGGCUAACUCCGUG
rnacentral:rRNA from 1 species